GAUGAACGCUGGCGGCGUGCCUAAUACAUGCAAGUCGAGCGAACAGAUGAGGGGCUUGCUCCUCUGACGUUAGCGGCGGACGGGUGAGUAACACGUGGAUAACCUACCUAUAAGACUGGGAUAACUUCGGGAAACCGGAGCUAAUACCGGAUAAUAUAUUGAACCGCAUGGUUCAAUAGUGAAAGACGGUUUUGCUGUCACUUAUAGAUGGAUCCGCGCCGCAUUAGCUAGUUGGUAAGGUAACGGCUUACCAAGGCAACGAUGCGUAGCCGACCUGAGAGGGUGAUCGGCCACACUGGAACUGAGACACGGUCCAGACUCCUACGGGAGGCAGCAGUAGGGAAUCUUCCGCAAUGGGCGAAAGCCUGACGGAGCAACGCCACGUGAGUGAUGAAGGUCUUCGGAUCGUAAAACUCUGUUAUUAGGGAAGAACAAAUGUGUAAGUAACUAUGCACGUCUUGACGGUACCUAAUCAGAAAGCCACGGCUAACUACGUG
rnacentral:rRNA from 1 species